rnacentral:rRNA from 1 species
UACGUAGGGGGCAAGCGUUGUCCGGAAUUAUUGGGCGUAAAGAGCUCGUAGGCGGUUUGUCGCGUCUGCUGUGAAAACUCGGGGCUUAACCCCGGGCCUGCAGUGGGUACGGGCAGACUAGAGUUCGGUAGGGGAGUCUGGAAUUCCUGGUGUAGCGGUGAAAUGCGCAGAUAUCAGGAGGAACACCGGUGGCGAAGGCGGGACUCUGGGCCGAUACUGACGCUGAGGAGCGAAAGCGUGGGGAGCAAACAGG